GACGAACGCUGGCGGCGUGCCUAAUACAUGCAAGUCGAGCGAGACUCUUCGGAGUCUAGCGGCGGACGGGUGAGUAACACGUGGGCAACCUGCCUGUAAGACUGGGAUAACACCGGGAAACCGGUGCUAAUACCGGAUAAUCCUUUUCCUCUCAUGAGGAAAAGCUGAAAGUCGGUUUCGGCUGACACUUACAGAUGGGCCCGCGGCGCAUUAGCUAGUUGGUGAGGUAACGGCUCACCAAGGCGACGAUGCGUAGCCGACCUGAGAGGGUGAUCGGCCACACUGGGACUGAGACACGGCCCGGACUCCUACGGGAGGCAGCAGUAGGGAAUCUUCCACAAUGGACGAAAGUCUGAUGGAGCAACGCCGCGUGAGCGAUGAAGGCCUUCGGGUCGUAAAGCUCUGUUGUUAGGGAAGAACAAGUACCGGAGUAACUGCCGGUACCUUGACGGUACCUAACCAGAAAGCCACGGCUAACUACGUGCCAGCAGCCGCGGUAUAC
rnacentral:rRNA from 1 species